rnacentral:misc_RNA from 1 species
UCUAUCUCAAGCUCUAGCUUGGUGUUGAGUGGAAUCGUAAGAUCCUACUUUAAACUUAGUGGCAAUCCAGCCUAAGUAGUCUAUAGCUUGACAAAACUCUCGCUAUGACUAAAGACUUGGAUUUGCCAAAUCUACGAAAA